rnacentral:lncRNA from 1 species
AAUAAUAAAGGUGCAGCUUGGUACAAAACUGUCUUCACCAAAAGCGCCUGAGAUGUACCUGUCUAUUGCUGACCUGAGAAUACAAGUUAUUUUGAAAGCGAGUAUCAACAUUUUUAUAAAUGCUGGUGAGUUCAUAAGUAUUUAGUGUCAUUUGUGUAUGUUCAAAAUAACUUUAUAAAAGUAGUAGUUUAGACUCUACAGUGGAUUAGAGUCCUUUCCAGAAAAUCCUGUAUUUUCUAAUUAAAAGCAGUCUUCUACCAAGACUUGACAGAGUUAUGUUGUAAAAGAAAUUUUCCUUUAAACACUAACAUUACCAAAAUAAGGUGUUUGAUUUUAAAGAAAGUAGGAGAAUAUUAGGGAAAAUAACAUAUGCCUCAGCAGUGAAUACUGCUGACUAAGGCAAAAGAAAUCAUGGACUCCAGGAGAGUAUCGAAUGAACGACAUUCCUGGCUCAGUCUAACAAAAGGAGAUAUAGACCCCAGACGGUAUCAAAUGCAUGAUACGUCUAGCAAGGUCUAAAACAGAGAGACACAGACCCCGGAGAGUAUCAAUUGAAUGAUACGUCUACCAAGGUCUAAAAGCAGUGAAUACAGACCCCAAAUAGUAUUAAAUGAAUGAUACGUCUAGCAAGAUCUAAAAACAGUGAAUACAGACCCCAGACAGUAUCAAAUGAAUGAUAUGUCUAGAAAGAUCUAAAAACAAUGAAUACAAUUUUAAUUCCCGUUACCUUAAGGCCAUGAAUUAUAAGGUAACCCCGAGAUACUCGUAACCAUACUGAUAGACACUAGAGAACUUGACGCCCUGCAAGCAUCAGAAAGAAUGUGACAUUUGUCACCCCUUGGCUUGGUAGGCCGUGGACUGUAUCUAGCAGUCAGGGUGUGGGGGUGUCAAUCCCGUAUAGAUCUAUACACACAAUGCCCGCUCUCCCUACAGGAGACUCUGGUUACCAACUAGACAACCGAGGAGGCCGUGAUGAGAUUAAAACUUAAUCUGGAAGAUCGAUUAGAUCUUAAACAGGUAAAUAAAUAUUAAACAAUAAGAACACGAAAAUAAAGAACAUGUCAAGAAUGAAUCAAACGAGUCGAAUGAUUAUAAAAUAACCCUCAGAAGAGCUCGAUCAAGAACAUCAACUGUUGAGGGUUGGAGGUUUACAAGAACGAUAAAGAAAUCUGUAAUACUAUCGUAAUUCUCUAAAUCAUUAACCUAAUAUGCAUGCAAGCAUAUCUUUAUAUAGUAAACUUAACAAACUCACGGUUGGACAGACCCAAAAUCGGAGUACAAAAUAAACGGACUAACAGCCGAGCCCAAUGACGCAAUCUUCAAACAAAUCUUCAACCCAACAAUCUCCCCCUUUGCGUCAAUUGGAGCGAGAUCUUCACUUGUUACUUGGGCCAGCAGCGGCAGCAGGUACCUUCUUCUUCACGGUCUGAAACAGACGAGAGAUCAGAGCAAGUAUCGUUUGCCUGAAUGUGAUGUACCAUUGGAUCAUGUCGUUGAAGUACUUGACAUCAUCUGCUGCAUUCUCUUUACACCUUCGGAUGAUCGAUAGCAUGUGCUCUAGACAAGCAAUGGUGUAAAGAUGUUUGUCAGCUAAAGCAAAGAGACAUUUCUGUCCUUCUGCUCUAGUGAACAUGACCGAAUUGUGUCUCGGGUCAAUCUUGCCCAUCUUCAUUUGAUUGAGAUCACUGGCCGAUCCCACAGGAGGUAUCUUCGGUUUCUUCUUGAAGACUGUGGCUACCUCCUGAUCCAUUAGGGCUACCUCCAUGAUGUAACAGACUAACAUCCUUUUGAGAUGGUCUAUAAUUGGACCAUAUUCGGCUUCAUUCAUCAAAAGGAUAUUAUGCAAAACAAUCCAAUCAUGAGGAUUUAGAUUCGGUAGAUCUGCCAAGGAUAUAAGAUGUUCAGUUCUUGCAGAUCCUCGAAUCACCUUGAACCGAACAUUGAUGAAUCUUCCUUCGGUAUAAGGCUUUAAGACCCGAACGUUCACUAUCUUCUGGGUGCUCCAUGUUUGAUACUGAGGACGAGCAGCCUUCAGAUAGAAUUCAAUCAGCUCCCUAUCAACCUCAGGGUUCGGAUGAGGGACUUCAAAAACAUUGGAGAAGGCGUGGAAGAUAAACGCCUUUCGUGUCAACGGCAUGUUGAACUGCGAAUCAACAGAAUUAUAGCAGUCGAAGGAGAUCAUCGGCUCGAGCCAUAGGAUGCUAGGAGUAUCUAUGGCCUCCUUUAUCAUUCUCUCCUGAGUCCAGGCAGGGAAUAGAGUCUUCCUGCUCUCAAGGAGAUCGUGGGCUUCCUUCUGCUUGCGUUCGGCUUCUUCAGCCUCUCGCGCCACACGAUUGACAUCAUCAUCAACAUUGCGACUGUUUUUACGUGUCGAAUGAUUAUAAAAUAAACCCUCAGAAGAGCUCGAUUAAGAACAUCAACUGUAGAGGAUUAGUAGGUUUACAAGAACGAUAAAGAAAAGUAAUCGUAAUUCUCUAAAGCGUUAUCAAGAUCGUUAGCCUAAUAUGCAUGCAAGCAUAUACUUAUAUAAUAAACCUAACGGGCUCUCGGUUGGACAGGCCCAAAACCGGAGCACAAAACAAAUGGACUAACAGCCGAGCCCAAUGACGCAACCCUUGAACAAAUCUUCAACCCAACAAUCUCCCCCUUUGUGUCAAUUGGAGCGAGAUCUUCACUNGAGUUUGAAAGCUGAGUGCUCUUGACCUUGAGGGCGGUGGUUUUGCUUGCCAGAACGUCCAUUAAUGAGUUUUCAGCUGCGAGAUCCUCUUGAAGCUUAGCGAGGCGCUCAUCAAUGGAGGCACGAAGGGUCGAGUUGUCAUCGCUUAUGGAUUGGCGAAGGUUACCGAAUGACUGUAACUCCGUUGAGACGAACUUGCCUAAUUGCUGAACGAUUGGUUCCAAAGUUGUCUUGGUGGCAUCAACGNNNNNNNNNNNNNNNNNNNNNNNNNNNNNNNNNNNNNNNNNNNNNNNNNNNNNNNNNNNNNNNNNNNNNNNNNNNNNNNNNNNNNNNNNNNNNNNNNNNNCCGAGCCCAAUGACGCAAUCUUCAAACAAAUCUUCAACCCAACAGGUCGUGUCCUGAAGAUGCAUCUUGUAUAGUGAGUUCUGAUGUAAAAUACUGGACUAAUGAUAAAGACUCACAACUGAACCGACCGAUGUAAACCUUCAUGUCUAUACAUGUAUACGUGAUAUAUAAUUAAUGAUUAAACGACCUUCGGACGGAUAUCCGAUCCCAGCAGACCACAUCCAAACGAGGAAAAGGAAAUAAGGCGGACUAGCCUUCCUAAGUCCUUUAGACAUUAUUUAUAUAACUAUACAAGUAUAGGCAUGCAUUUAACGAUGUGGAAGCAUUUAACUAAGUAGAAGCGUUAACAAAGUAGAAGUGUUUCAUGAAGUAGAAACGUUUCUCGAAGUAGAAGUGUUAAUAAAGUAUAAGCGUUUACGAAGUAGUAGCAUUAAUAAAGUAGGAGCGUUUCGUGAAGUAGAAGCGGUAAUAAAGUAGAAGCGUUUACGAAGUAGUAAUAUUAACAAAGUAGGAGCGUUUACCAAGUAGUAGCAUUAACAAUGUAGGAGCGUUUACGAAUUAGUAGUAUUUCUCGAAGUAGAAGCGUUAUUAAAGUAGAAGCGUUUAACUAAGUAGGAGCAUUUAAAGAAGUAGAGGCAUAACAAAGUAGUAGUAUUUAACGAAGUAGAAGUAUAAAACAUGAAAGAAAUCCUUGAUGAAAACUUUGGAAAACCUUUACACUUAAUAAAAUUGUCCCUUGGUAUUCUUUUGUAAAACACAUUUGAAAACCUUUAGAAAUCCUUUGAAAAACCUUUCAUAAACACGUUUUGAAUGUAAUCUCGAAUAAACAAUAUCGGUAGAGAAAACCUUUGUUUGAAACAGCACGAGAGAUAAUUUGAGAAAAGAUUUAAACAAGUAAAAACGUUUUGGAAAACCAUUUAUAAUAUCAUACUUGGUAAAACAGUUGACUGUAAUAAUCCCUUGUGCAUGCGGGUUAUCAAUCACAUGUGAUUGAUAUGAUAACUGGCAUGUUUAACUUGUAUUCCCCCCCCCCCCCCUAAAAACUUNAAAACAUGUGAAAACAUUUAAAUGGUUAAUUCAGGGGUAUGAACUCACCUGUUGUAAGUGGAUCGGGUGAAGGUGCCAGUAUAGGAUGCUAAGUGUCAAGUGAGGACUUGACCACACAUGCGAAUCCAAUUUGAGGUUCGGAGGGGCGAUUUUUGACCAAAACCCAUUUGUAGAAAGAGAAAGUAGAGAGAGAGAGAGUCUAAGGUGGGGAAAAAGGUGGGAGUGAAACCCACUCCUCCCUUAUAUAGGGUGGAGCUUAUGGCCUGGUUAGGUUUCUCCUGACACCAACCGCGAACGGGUUUUUCAUGUCUACCGUUAAACACGACAACAUUUUAAAAUUAUUCCACCUUAAUUUUUGUUCGCUUGACGAAUAUUAUUUAAAAUAUUCCAACGGGUUUAAUUCUGAUCAAAAAUAUUUUCGGGAUAAAUUUGGCUAAUUUUUUACGUAACUAAUUUCGACGUUAAUUUCGACGUUAAAACUAACGGAAAUUUUUGGGUUGUCACAUCAUUCCCCCGUUAGAGGGAAUUUCAUCCCGAAAUUCAGGUUUAGGCAAGGAAGUAGGUAUGAAUGACCGAGUAAAGGUAUGAGGAUACUCCCUAUUCGGUUGGUCCUCGCACUCCCAAGUGAACUCUGGCCUUCGCUUGGCGUUCUAACGAACUUCACUUACGGGAUGCGGACUCCGUCUCGUGCAGCUAGCGAUUCCUACUGGUUCGUCUACAUAGUUAGGUUCCCAAUGGUUUCUAUCAAGAUGAGUGGGAUACAAAGAGUGACGUCGGGAAAACACUUAUCAAGUCUAAGAAGUGGAUUGAUCUGGGGUCAAACUCGUGGAAUAUCCGAAAGUAGUAGUGGUCUGACGAGGGUUGGACCAAUCUCUGUAAAGAAUCUCGGAUGGUCCUAAGCUCUCGAAAGGGUAGAGCUCUUCAGUACUUAGAACAUAGUUUACUUCUAUGGCGAGAUCAUCAAUGGUGUGGUCACCAUUCCGAAGUUCCAACCGUUCUCUUAUAUUGGGAGUGUAGUCCUUCAGGUUGUUUCUUAGAAAGCUCGGGUUGUCCUUGGAUUCGUGUUCAUGUUGAAUGGCUCUCCGAGGUUUUCUAGCUCAUUGGAUAGAUUGCGUGUCUACGGGUAUCUGUUUGUUGCAGAGUGUCUAUCUCAAUCUUGUGCAAAUGAACCUGCACUUCUGAUUCUUGAGAUAUUUCUAACGGAAACCCUCAGGGUCGGGGAGAUAGGGUUUCGCAAGACGACUGUUGGACUAUCUCGGGAGGUGGUUCUACUAUUUUUGUGCGAGAUAGUAUUCAUGGAACACCUAGUAGUCCAAUGAAUCUCUAAGACAUGUCCUAUUCUCCAAUGUGUUGGUUUAUUUUAGUUGCAGAAAGCGCGUGCUCUUGUAUAAUCCAUCGACUAACACCUGGACUGGUGUCAAGUCUAUAAUCUCUUCGGGAUCUGGGUUAGAAGGCUUAACGCAACCUACUCUUGCACUUUAUUCAAGUAUUCUUGGCUGCGGAGGUUAUCAUGUGGUUCUCGGUAUUCUAGUGCUCGCUUCGGAGAAUGCAGUCUGUCAUCUACAGGUUGACGGUGACUUCCUCCACGUAAGGGGGCAGAGGGUCCUAGGCACUACUCGUCGGUAACGGGGAGGACGAAGUGCCUGAGUAGUGCGAGCAUCUUCUGCAACUACUCUUCCGAUGGUUCUGAGUUUUCUAGAUCUAGGUCGAAUCUAAUGAGUAUAGGGUUCCAUCACUCGGAACCUAAUCUCCUCAUCCACUCUUCUCAGAGUUUAAUUCAUCGCAGCUUUCGGAUUUCCGGGAUAUCCGCUGAGAUGCUUAAUUCGGGGAUUAAGCGUGAAUGGAUGGUCGUAGUCAAUGUCCUUGAAUCUUACAACUUAGAUUUCCUUACCAACCGAGGCUGUUCGCUACUAUGCUGGCUUAACAGGGAUGACUACAAAUUUCGGAUUUGUGGUCAUUAUAGCAGCUCAACCCGCCGUGGUUCUCUUGACUUUAGCUCCUAUUCUAUGGAAUAGGAUGAAGGGCUUCACUAUGAUGUUCAUGGUAGAGCUCAUACUUGGCUUAACUACUAAUACGUGGUGUAUGCAAGUCGUAUAUAAUUGAGGUCGGCAGGAUGUUCAGUUGUGCGACUCCACCCUAGACCCACAACCCAACGAGGAACAGGGAAUAGGGAGGAAGCACACAUCUUAAAUCUUUUUGAUAUCAAUUAUAUACCACCCUUAUGCAUAUACUCAGUUAUAGUGGUUAGUCCCAUGAGUUCUAUCCUCUAGAUUCACGAACCGGAUUGCGAGGUGUGAAGGGUCUUUCUGGGUUUCUACGGUGUCUGCUUCGGAUGGUUAUCGUCUUCUGGAAUGCCUACUGUGUCUUUCGCUUCGGUUUCUAUCUGACUCAGAGGGGUUGGCUAAUAGUGCGCGGUACCUACUCCUGGGUACUUCGGACGGUUUGAAAUACGAGUAACGACUGACGGAUCGCAUUAGGUUUUAUUAUUCUUAUUUUGUUUAGGUUUGGAAGAACCUUUAUUUGCCGAAAUGGCUAUGGAGAAAGUUCUUUUUACACAGCUCUAAGGAUUUACACAUGGUUGCACGAAGUCGAACCAUGAUUAAUAAAGGCGUCGAAGUUGGCAUACAUCGACAUUACAUAGAGUGAGGAUCGAUAGGGUCGUGUGCUGAACGGGCACACAAGUUCUAGGCGUCUCGAGUUUCGUCCCGUGUAUCACUGACGCGGAUACUUGGACCGAUAGAGUCGACGCGGAACUGUAGAGAGUAGAGUACCUUUUCAUGAAUGGAUUCUGACGAGGCAUUUCUAUAAUCGCCUAACAUAUAGUAGUCAUGUAUAAUUAAGGUGGGGAGGAUUGUUGACUGAGCGACUCCGCCCUAAAUCGACAACCAAACAAGGAACAGGAAAUGAGGCGGCACUCACUCACUCUAGGUCUAUCCAUCUUAAUUAUACAUGGCCGUAACGUAUAUAUCUAGCCAUUAUAGUUUUACCUAAUGAAAUUUUAAAAUUUAUAACAGUGUUGCGACUUUCGCCUUAAUGGGGAAGUGAUUACAUUUAGAAUUAGCCUUUUAAUGUUUUCGGUUAGUUAUCCGAGAUUGAGCGACGUACCAAAAUCUACUGGGUUCCUUGAUGCUUCUCCUUAAAAAUUAGAGUUAGACUCCUCCUAUGUCUUUCUUGCUUCCUUCGGUUGGGCAGUCCUUCUUGAAUUGUCCAAUCUCACCACAUAGACGGCAAACUGGAUUGGUCGUCACAUUGGUGGUUGAUGUAAUACACUCAAUCGGGGUUCUGCAGACGCGAGCAAUAUGCCCCUUCAUGUUGCACCUAGCACAAAAGAGUUCCCGACAUAUACCAUGAUGAUGGUAGUUGCACUUGCUGCAGUGGGGAAGGUUUCCUAGGUAUGGUCUUCUUGAAGUCGGGAUGGAAAGGCUGGCAGGGGUAUCGACUGUCUCAGCUCAUUGACCUUCGAAUGAUCCUUGAGUCGAGGUACUUCCCUCCUCAUUCUUGAACUUUCUCUUUAGUGGAGUUGGAUGAGGUUCUUGGGUGGCUGGGUACACAGAGGUUGGUUGCUGUUGUCCACUGCUAGGAUCAGGAUUCCCGGUAGGGCUCUUGCUAACAUUGGCAUUGUUAGCAUCCAACUGAGCCAUGACAGCUGCAACGGCUGCCGAGACUGCAGCCUAGAACGUAACUUCAUCGAGUAGGAGAGUCGGUUUCUUGCUAGUGGAUGGGUUACGCUUCUUUGGAGGCAUGGUUUUUCCUAUACGGAAAAGAACUCAAGCGAAUGAGAGAUGAUGGUUAACCCUGGACAUAUCUAUCCUUACUGUAUUAGGCGCAAAUUUUCCCGUGCUUCGGAUAUUGGUUGCCUGAGUGUCGACCUACAUUUCUAUGAUGUAGUCCUGGUAUUCAAGGUAGGAGUGUGAGUAUCGGAAAAAGCCAUAAGAUGGGAUUCGUUCCUACUAAGCUACCUUUAUACUGGGAAAGGUUCACUCUCCGGCCUGGAAAGAUUUGAGAACAGUUCAGAACGAAGACCGCGGGAAGAAAAGCUCAUGAAGACUUAUGGCUAAACGCCCUCAAUAGAGAUGCGGGGAUCCGCUCUAAUCGUAUUACUUGCAACGGGAAAAGGCAAUUUACCUAACACAUAGUGUGAGUAGUGUAAUCACUAACUCACUAAAUUGUAUUAUUUUAUGGGUGUAUUAGCGUGGCGAACACGAGGAAAAGACACUUCUCGGGUUCCAUGUACUGGCUCCCUCUGUCUAUCUCGUAUCCUUGACUGGGAUCGGCGUUGGUUUCCUUUGGGUAGUUACCUAGGGUUCUCCUCUCUUAUAAACAUAUUGAAUUUCUACUCCGUCUUACUUCCGAUUCCAACUUUGGGUGUCAUCACUUCAUGAUGGAUGACUGGAAAUCUCGGAGGUUUAGGCGAAUUUCUCACCGAUGUCCCUAAAAGAUAUAGGCACUUGGUGAUUUCAAUAGUCUCGACCUAGGUCAUUUAUUUCUGAACUGGAAAUCUUCUCAAUGAACCUCUUCGGGGUCUAAAUCAACUCUUCUGCUGAGUACUGAAGUGGAUAGAGUUUUCUACAGGGUUCAAGCGAGAAUGGAAAUGUCUAAAAAAUCCUAAGAGAUUAUUAACAUUUCACUGAAUGAUCCAUAUCGAGUCCUGCUACAAUUACAUAGGGUACACAAAUCAUAUAUAGCUUAGAUCCGAUAGGCCUUUGAAUAUGUGAUACUACUCUAUAUCCACAUCCAAACAAGGAAAAGGAAAUAGAGCGAAACCACACAGUCUCUGUCUAUGGGAUCCUUAUUAUAUACAACCUUGGGAGUAUACCCUCUGUAAUUGUAGGUAUAUCAAUAAGGAUCUUUUUAGUUCUUCACACAAAGUUAUUUAUGGAUCCUAAAAUACCCCUAUGGUAUUUUAAUUUUUUGUUUGAUUCUUUACUUCUGAAUAUGAUUCUGGGAUUAAUGUGAGUCUUUUAGUAUUCCAAAAUACACCCAUAGUAUUUUAAACUUUAUGUUUGGCUCUAUCAUUCCUAGUUGGUAAGUUUCAGACCCGUCGCAACACCACUAUCACUCCCAAGCACACGUUCAUCGCAUCUCAAAUAAAUGUAGUUGAUCAUGUUACAUUUAUUCCAGCUUACGAUUACAUAACUGCCCCGGUUUGACGGUAAUGCUCAACAUCCGAAGACUUUUAUUCUUGUUCUUCUUGUGAUACUUGUGUUCGAGUGUUUAGAUUCUGGAUGUUCUUAUACUUUGGUAAAAUAUGGUUAUAUUUUAAAGUAUAAUUUUUGGUCAGAGUGUUUUAUCCCUAUGUAUUUAUAGGUUGUAUAUCUAUUAUGAAUUGAUAUACUUAGCUGACUAUAAACAAUGCUCUGAUACCAAUCUGUCACACCCCAAAACCGGAACGGCGGAAACGUUCUGGGGUGGAUGACGUCAUGUCAAGUAUCACAACAUAUGCAGUAUAGUAAUCAAAGUACAACAACCAUUGCAUUAAUAGUAAUAGUUUUACAUAGUUUACAUUUCAUAGAAACAUCAAAGUAAUACAAGUAAUAAUAUAGGUGCAGCUUGGUACUAAACUGUCUUCACCAAAAGCUCCUGAGAUGUACCUGUCUAUUGCUGACCUGAGAAUACAAGUUAUUUUGAAAGCGAGUAUCAGCAUUUUUAUAAAUGCUGGUGAGUUCAUAAGUAUUUAGUGUCAUUUGUGUAUGUUCAAAAUAACUUUAUAAAAGUAGUAGUUUAGAGUCUAUAAUGGAUUAGAGUCCUUUCCAGAAAAUCCUAUAUUUUCUAAUUAAAAGCAGUCUUCUACCAAGACUUAACAGAGUUAUGU